GUGCUUGCUUUGGCAGCACAUAUACUAAAAUUGGAACGAUACAAAGAAGAUUGGCAUGGCCCCUGUGCAAAUAUGAAACUCAAAUAAGUGAAGCAUUCCAUAUUUUU
rnacentral:snRNA from 1 species